rnacentral:rRNA from 1 species
CGCAGUCUAGUUAGCAAUUAUACCGCGAAACUGCGAAUGGCUCAUUAUAUAAGUUAUCGUUUAUUUGAUAGUACCUUACUACUUGGAUAACCGUGGUAAUUCUAGAGCUAAUACAUGCUAAAAAUCCCGACUUCGGAAGGGAUGUAUUUAUUAGAUUAAAAACCAAUGCCCUUCGGGGCUUUCUGGUGAUUCAUGAUAACUUCUCGAAUCGCAUGGCCUUGCGCCGGCGAUGGUUCAUUCAAAUUUCUUCCCUAUCAACUUUCGAUGUUUGGGUAUUGGCCAAACAUGGUUGCAACGGGUAACGGAGGGUUAGGGCUCGACCCCGGAGAAGGAGCCUGAGAAACGGCUACUACAUCCAAGGAAGGCAGCAGGCGCGCAAAUUACCCAAUCCCGACACGGGGAGGUAGUGACAAUAAAUACUGAUACAGGGCUCUUUUGGGUCUUGUAAUUGGAAUGAGUACAAUUUAAAUCCCUUAACGAGGAACAAUUGGAGGGCAAGUCUGGUGGACAUUCGCUGGCGCCAGAGAGAGCCAUGCCCUAUAAUUAUGGCUAGUCGAGUGCUCGUUAUGUGACGGGUGAGCACCGGCAAGACAACCUGGAUCGGGGAAGCCUAAGGGUCCUUCGGGGCCUAUGGUAAUCCCGAGCAGAGCUUUAGCGAGGGUAACCUGCUGAAGCCUGUGUAGAGCGCGCUAAGGUGUCGGUCACACGUGCUGCAAAGCACGCGGGGCUUAAGGGACGUGCCAAUCCCCAGUGAAAGCUGGGCUCUACGGUCAAGCACCCGUCGUGUGAAACCGUAGGGAGGCCUGCGCAAGCAGGUCGUAGACAGUCAAGUCUUUAAAAAUUAAAUGGCCAGCAGCCGCGGUAAUUCCAGCUCCAAUAGCGUAUAUUAAAGUUGUUGUGGUUAAAAAGCUCGUAGUUGAACCUUGGGCCUGGCUGGCCGGUCCGCCUCACCGCGUGUACUGGUCCGGCCGGGCCUUUCCCUCUGUGGAACCCCAUGCCCUUCACUGGGUGUGGCGGGGAAACAGGACUUUUACUUUGAAAAAAUUAGAGUGCUCCAGGCAGGCCUAUGCUCGAAUACAUUAGCAUGGAAUAAUAGAAUAGGACGUGUGGUUCUAUUUUGUUGGUUUCUAGGACCGCCGUAAUGAUUAAUAGGGACAGUCGGGGGCAUCAGUAUUCAAUUGUCAGAGGUGAAAUUCUUAGAUUUAUUGAAGACUAACUACUGCGAAAGCAUUUGCCAAGGAUGUUUUCAUUAAUCAGGAACGAAAGUUAGGGGAUCGAAGACGAUCAGAUACCGUCGUAGUCUUAACCAUAAACUAUGCCGACUAGGGAUCGGACGAUGUUAUUUUUUGACUCGUUCGGCACCUUACGAGAAAUCAAAGUGCU